rnacentral:rRNA from 1 species
AUUGAACGCUGGCGGCAUGCUUUACACAUGCAAGUCGAACGGCAGCGCGGGCUUCGGCCUGGCGGCGAGUGGCGAACGGGUGAGUAAUGCAUCGGAACGUGCCCAGUAGUGGGGGAUAGCCCGGCGAAAGCCGGAUUAAUACCGCAUACGACCUGAGUGUGAAAGCGGGGGACCGAAAGGCCUCGCGCUAUUUGAGCGGCCGAUGUCGGAUUAGCUAGUUGGUUGGGUAAAGGCGUACCAAGGCGACGAUCCGUAGCUGGUCUGAGAGGACGACCAGCCACACUGGAAAGGAGGCACAGUGCAGACUCCGACGGGAGGCAGCAGUAGGGAAUCGGGCGGAAGGGGCGAAAGCCUGACGGAGCAACGCCGCGUGAGUUAUGAAGGUAUUCGGAUCGGAAAACUCGGGGAUUAGGGAAGAACAAAAGUGUAAGUAACUGUGCAAGGCUGGACGGUACCGAAGCAGAAAGCCAGGGCUAGCUACGAG